GCCUUCUAUAACAAGAGAAGAGACCCAUGACUAGUUAUUUUUUAUAUAGAUGGGAUCUAUAACCUUUGCUAUCAAAGUUUACUCCAUACCCAUGCAGGAUAAGGAAACUGACUGGAAGGUCUACAUAGAUGUGAGCAUUUGCCAAAUGAAUGGCAGAGAAAGAAAGCCUUAACUGGAUUAACCAUUUUCUGAUGGACCAGUUACAAGAUGCCAAAGUUGUUAAAAUAAUAAUAAUAAUGACAAUUUGUUAUUAUUUACCAUCAAUUUCUUUUUCAGUUCCAAAAAAAAACUUUUUUU
rnacentral:misc_RNA from 1 species